rnacentral:rRNA from 1 species
GAUGAACGCUGGCGGCGCGCCUAAUACAUGCAAGUCGAGCGAAUGGAUUAAGAGCUUGCUCUUAUGAAGUUAGCGGCGGACGGGUGAGUAACACGUGGGUAACCUGCCCAUAAGACUGGGAUAACUCCGGGAAACCGGGGCUAAUACCGGAUAACAUUUUGAACCGCAUGGUUCGAAACUGAAAGGCGGCUUCGGCUGUCACUUAUGGAUGGACCCGCGUCGCAUUAGCUAGUUGGUGAGGUAACGGCUCACCAAGGCAACGAUGCGUAGCCGACAUGGGAGGGAGAUCGGCCACACUGGGACUGAGACACGGCCCAGACUCCUACAGGAGGCAGCAGUAGGGAAUCUUCCGCAAUGGACGAAAGUCUGACGGAGCAACGCCGCGUGAGUGAUGAAGGCUUUCGGGUCGUAAAACUCUGUUGUUAGGGAAGAACAAGUGCUAGUUGAAUAAGCUGGCACCUUGACGGUACCUAACCAGAAAGCCACGGCUAACUACGUGCCAGCCGCCGCCGUAA